rnacentral:rRNA from 1 species
GAUGAACGCUAGCGGCAGGCCUAACACAUGCAAGUCGAGGGGCAUCGCGGUGCAGCAAUGCACUGGCGGCGACCGGCGUACGGGUGCGUAACGCGUAUGCAACCUGCCCCGCACCGGGGGAUAGCCCGCCGAAAGGCGGAUUAAUACCCCAUGGUCCCGGGGGCCCGCAUGGGCAUCCGGGUAAAGCCUUGGCGGUGCGGGAUGGGCAUGCGUGCCAUUAGCUGGCUGGUGGGGUAACGGCCCACCAGGGCAACGAUGGCUAGGGGGUCUGAGAGGAUGGUCCCCCACACUGGUACUGAGACACGGACCAGACUCCUACGGGAGGCAGCAGUGAGGAAUAUUGGUCAAUGGGCGGAAGCCUGAACCAGCCAUGCCGCGUGCGGGAUGAAGGCCCUACGGGUUGUAAACCGCUUUUCCCCGGGAAGAAUAAGCCCCCCGCGGGGGUGAGUGCCGGUACCGGGGGAAUAAGGAUCGGCUAACUCCGUGCCAGCAGCCGCGGUAACUAGUCUACG